rnacentral:rRNA from 1 species
UGGUGGAGUGAUUUGUCUGGUUAAUUCCGUUAACGAACGAGACCUCAGCCUGCUAAAUAGUCACGCGAUGUCUUUGCUUCUGGCGAUGGGAUCGUGGCAGUACUUCUUAGAGGGACUAUCGGUGUUUAGCCGAUGGAAGUUUGAGGCAAUAACA